GAUGAACGCUGGCGGCGUGCCUAAUACAUGCAAGUCGAGCGAACAGACGAGGAGCUUGCUCCUCUGACGUUAGCGGCGGACGGGUGAGUAACACGUGGAUAACCUACCUAUAAGACUGGGAUAACUUCGGGAAACCGGAGCUAAUACCGGAUAAUAUAUUGAACCGCAUGGUUCAAUAGUGAAAGACGGUUUUGCUGUCACUUAUAGAUGGAUCCGCGCCGCAUUAGCUAGUUGGUAAGGUAACGGCUUACCAAGGCAACGAUGCGUAGCCGACCUGAGAGGGUGAGCGGCCACACUGGAACUGAGACAGGGUCCAGACUCCUACGGGAGGCAGCAGUAGGGAAUCUUCCGAAAGGGGCGAAAGCCUGACGGAGCAACGCCGCGUGAGUGAUGAAGGUCUUCGGAUCGUAAAACUCUGUUAUUAGGGAAGAACAAAUGUGUAAGUAACUAUGCACGUCUUGACGGUACCUAAUCAGAAAGCCACGGCUAACUACGUG
rnacentral:rRNA from 1 species